CUGUUAUACCUACUGUCUCCUCCCCUCCACCCUACCAGGGUCGUCCCAUCACACCAGUGUACACCAUGACCCACAACAUGCAGCGUAUCCCCACGGCCAGUGGUCUGUACGGAGCAGGCUAUAUGCCCAUCACCAACUACAACGCUGCUGCCCUGGCAGCCCUGCAGAAGAACGCAGCCGUGGCCGCUGCAGCCUACGGAGGGUACGCGGGUUACGCCAUGCCCCAGGCCUUCCCUGCCGCAGCGUUUCAGGUGCCCAUCCACGACGUCUACCAGACCUACUGACAACAGAUACCAGACCUACUGACAACAGAUACCAGACCUACUGACAACAGAUACCAGACCUACUGACAACAGAUACCACACCUACUGACAACAGAUACCAGACCUACUGACAACAGAUACCAGCUACCAGACCGACUGACAACAGAUACCAGCUACCAGACCGACUGACAACAUCUACCAGCUACCAAACCUACUGACAACAGCUACCAGCUACCAAACCUACUGACAACAGAUACCAGACCUACUGACAACAGCUACCAGACCUACUGACAACAGCUACCAGACCUACUGACAACAGCUACCAGACCUACUGACAACAGAUACCAGACCUACUGACAACAGAUACCAGACCUACUGACAACAGCUACCAGACCUACUGACAACAGAUACCAAACCUACUGACAACAGCUACCAGACCUACUGACAACAGCUACCAGACCUACUGACAACAGAUACCAGCUACCAGCUGUCUGGUCCACAACUCCUGUUCAACCACCACUCAACGUUCAAACAACUUUUGUAUCACGACGUCAGGAACUACAGACGACCUACAGAAGACCUCAUCCCCACAUAUCACCUCCCCCCCCCCCCCCCCGUUCAAAUAACGACACGUCAACUCAAUGUCUUCAACAGCAACGUCUACGCGACGUCUACGCGACGUCCACAAUGUAAAAAACCCAACCUAAAUGGACCCUUGAACGCAAACUCUACUCUGCGUCGGUUCUUCAACGUUAGCCCAACAUCUAGGCUACGUUAUGACGUGCGCCAAAACCUUCGACGUUUUCACAACGUCUAUGCAACGUCCUACUGACAGGUUGAUCACAUUGGGUCCUAAUGAAUACUGGACCAGACGUUCACACAACGUUCACACAACAUUCACACAAUGUAUUCUAUGAAUAGAAUAGAGCCUAUAUCGCUCAUAUUCAAAUCUGGAGAGUUCCUCUGCAUUGUUUCAUUGUUCCCCUCUAAUCAGGGACUGAUUUAGACCUGGGACACCAGUCAUUGUUCCCCUCUAAUCAGGGACUGAUUUAGACCUGGGACACCAGUCAUUGUUCCCCUCUAAUCAGGGA